AUUUCCUGGUCUUUUACCAGUAAAGGGACUUUCUCCACUAAGUAUGUACUUGAGUGAUUGGAGAAAGAUCUCUCGGGAUCAAGCUAUAGAUGGGUGUGGAUAGCUUGUAUGCCUUUGAAAAUCAAGAUUUUUAUUUGGCAAUUGUUUCAAAAUGGUGAGCUUACUCGGGACAAUAUGCACAAGUGUAAUUGGCCUGGUAACCCUUCUUGUUCCUUUUAUAGUAAUAUGGAAGUUGUCGACCACCUGUUCUUUACUUGUCCAUUUGCUCGAUCGGUUGGGGGUCGGCAUUUGGUUUGGCGCUUCUUGUUGUCCGAGGUUUCUUUGGCGGAGCUUCUUGUGGUGCUACUGUUUCCUUCCAGGGGCAAUAAAUUUUACAUGAUGACUAUAGCCGCCAUUUGUUGGGGUAUUUGGUGUACUAGUAUCAAAAUAAUAUCUGAGGUGCAUAUUGUCUAUUCUCUCCUUGAAGUUGUCUUCAUUGCUUCUGGACAUGAUUGCUAA
rnacentral:rRNA from 1 species